GCUCCCUCUGCAUCACAGAGGAGACAAGAACUACAUUUCCACAAAUUCCCAUUAGGAGGCACUUCGGUUGAGCUAUGAUUCCUUAUGGAUUUCACUGGCCCUGUCUUGUCUGCUCAUUUACCUGCUUAUGUCUUGUUACUUACAGCAGGACAGAGUCUGGAUUUAACUACUCUGCCCCUACCAGAUUACCUGAGGAGAGAAGAUGAUCAAAAUGGAAUGGAAAGGAUCAAAUAAAGAAGAGAGAUAUUUAAUCUAUAUAUUUAAUUAUAUAUACUUAUUUAUGAUAUUGUUCAUUGUUUUAUUUUACCACUUCACUAUUCUGCAAAAAAAAACAUAAAUGCAAAAUUUUUAAUAAUAUGUUGCCAACCUAUAAGACAAGUGAAAUAAAUGAGAAAAAACUUAAAGUAUAAUGGUAGAAAUCUAUGUUUGUAAAUUUCAACAAUCAAUAAGAAGUAGAAUUAUUCAAGCAACAGAACUCCUUGUGAUUACAUGUUUCAAAAAUAAAAAGAUGAUUUUGUUCCAAUAAAUAUUCUAAAUUACUACAUAUAUUUGUCAAUAUAUUGAUGAGUUAAUAUUAAGAUUAGUAUAGAUUUUAAAUUUCUACAUUUUUUCUCUUAACUAUAAACAAAGUUCAUUAUCUUAUGAUGAAUCUUUGUAUUUACUUUCAUUCAACACUGAAAAUUCUAAAAUAAAAAAAGAUGAGAAAAUCUUAUUGAAG
rnacentral:lncRNA from 1 species